AGCGUAGGUGGCAAGGCAAGCCAGAAGUGAAAACCCGGGGCUCAACCGCGGGAUUGCUUUUGGAACUGUCAUGCUAGAGUGCAGGAGGGGUGAGCGGAAUUCCUAGUGUAGCGGUGAAACGCGUAGAUAUUAGGAGGAACACCGGAGGCGAAGGCGGCUCACUGGACUGUAACUGACACUGAGGCUCGAAAGCGUGGGGAGCAAACA
rnacentral:rRNA from 1 species